rnacentral:rRNA from 1 species
AUUGAACGCUGGCGGCAGGCCUAACACAUGCAAGUCGAGCGGAUGAAGGGAGCUUGCUCCUGGAUUCAGCGGCGGACGGGUGAGUAAUGCCUAGGAAUCUGCCUGGUAGUGGGGGAUAACGUCCGGAAACGGGCGCUAAUACCGCAUACGUCCUGAGGGAGAAAGUGGGGGAUCUUCGGACCUCACGCUAUCAGAUGAGCCUAGGUCGGAUUAGCUAGUUGGUGGGGUAAGGCCUACCAAGGCGACGAUCCGUAACUGGUCUGAGAGGAUGAUCAGUCACACUGGAACUGAGACACGGUCCAGACUCCUACGGGAGGCAGCAGUGGAGAAUAUUGGACAAUGGGCGAAAGCCUGAUCCAGCCAUGCCGCGUGUGUGAAGAAGGUCUUCGGAUUGUAAAGCACUUUAAGUUGGGAGGAAGGGCAGUAAGUUAAUACCUUGCUGUUUUGACGUUACCAACAGAAUAAGCACCGGCUAACUUCGUG